ensembl:lncRNA
AUCAAGUUGAUAUAUUAUCAUAUUGGACUAAUGUUGGACACUGCCUGCCUGUGUGAUGAUGUGAUUAUGAUAAAUCACCAGAACACGGUAUGGAAGGGGCGCUGUUACCCUGCGCAUUAACUAGCGAUUAUACCCUACGCAUUAGCUAGCGAUUAUACCCUACGCAUAACCGUGUCCUCAUCAUAUGCUGAAAAAAACAGUUGAAAAAGACCUAAAUUAUCAAGUGCACGAGGCAGGAAGCGGCGUAAAGGAGAGGAGCAGAAAAAAAAGAGUAAUAUAGAGAUGAGGACUCGCUCGAGCUUCACAUGGUGCGGCUAGAACUGGAGGAUUUGGAGAAGCAGAUCCGUGGCCUACUCAACAAGCAGGCCCAGCUGCUGGAGCGACAAACUGAGCUGGAAACAUCUUGUGCCUCUGCCCACAUAUCCAAGGUAAGCACACAGCAUGGUAUUUUCACUCCCAGGCCCUCUACGUCGUGUGUUUUUGUGCAGGGACCGUGCACCUAGGACUUUCCCAGCCGUGGUCUCCGUCACGCCGCCGCCAACACUCCUCAGGCCUUGGGUGAACCAGUGGCGGAAGGCGCGGGCUGGACCACAGGUGAGGAGCUCUCCACCUCCGGUGUUCGAGAUUCCAACCGGGAACCGCUUCGCCCCUCUCCGUCAGACCAGACCUAACGCUGUGAUCGUCGGGGACUCCAUUGUGCGGAACGUCCGUGUAGCCUCAUCUAAAGGUGAUGACUUUUGAUGAAAAGUGAGUUUCUAGACAUAAAAUGUCACUUUUUUCACCUUAUCACACUUUAACAUCAACUUUUACAUUUUAAUGUAAACAAUCAUAUUUCCUAAUAUUUUUGGUCAGAAACAAUUCAAAGUACUAUAUUAUGUGUAACUAUGUGAAAAAUAUCAUAUUGGAGUAGGUCGGGCAAUUGAUUAUAUGAGUUUAUUAGAAAAACCACUUUCCUUUGCUCCUAGUGCCUUCUCGUUCGCUGUAUAGCGUUUUGAGCGGAGAAAGAGCACAAGUGUGUAUGGACAUACAGCAUAAAUGGGAACAAGUUUUGUUAUGGUACUUUUGAUGAAAAGUGACUUUCUACACUUCAAAUGUCACUUUUUUCAUCUUAUCGUACUUUAUCAUCAAGUUUUACAUUUUAAUGUAAACAAUCAUAUUUCGUAAUAUUUUAGGUCAGAAACAGUUCAUAGUACUAUAUUAUGCGUAACUAUGUGAAAAGAAUCAUAUUGGAGUAGGUCGGGCAACUGAUUAUAUGAGUUUGUUAGAAAAACCACUUUCCUUUGCUCCUAGCGCCUUCUCGUUCGCUGUAUAGCCGUUUGAGCGGAUAAAGAGCACAAGUGUGUAAGGGGACACAGGAUGAAUGCAAACUAGUUUUGUUAUGCCACUUUUGAUGAAAAGUGACUGUCUAGACAUAAAAUGUCACUUUUUUCACCUUAUCAUACUUUUUCAUCAACUUUUGCAUUUUA